CCCUUAGAUGUUCUGGGCCGCACGCGUGCUACAAUGGCAAAAUCAACGAGUAUACCUUUGUCGACAGACAUGGGAAAUCUUUUCAGUUCUUGCCGUGAUGGGGCUAGACCCUUGUAAUUGUUGGUCUCCAACGAGGAAUUCCUAGUAAACGCAAGUCAUCAGCUUGCAUUGAUUACGUCCCUGCCCUUUGUACACACCGCCCGUCGCACCUACCGAUUGAACGGUCCGGUGAAAUCUUGGGAUUUGCUUUGCUUUCGUUUAUUCGAUGCUCGGCGAAGUACUUGAGUAAACCUUACCGUUUAGAGGAAGGUGAAGUCGUAACA
rnacentral:rRNA from 1 species